AUACUAUUAUAUGUAUAUACUACUUAUAUUACUUUCAAAUUUCGCGCUUUUUCUAUACCUAACCUACAAGACGCAAAGUUGCCAAGCGUUGUGCUAAGUAAUUUCUGAUUGUCAAAAUACGGUGUUUUUUUUAGACAAAAUAAUUAAUUGUGAGUCUCCUAAGCCAGGUCUGAUCAAUUUUAUUAAAAACAUUCAUUCUGGUUUUCCCGCAGACCUUGCUCAUAAUAUGUGCGAGACCUCAUCCUCCUGUCAUCGCAAGAAUCGAAGGAAGUGUAUAGGGAAAUAAAAAAAAAUCGAGGGAUGUACAUACACAACAAGGAGAAUGAAAGAGGAAAAAGAGGGGGAUCGGUAUAAAGGAGCUCAUUGCAUUGGCUCUGGAAAGCGGACAAAUUCCAUUCCGGAAGGUAACACCUACGUCGUCAUUGCUUCGUCUCUCAUAGUGGUAGCUGGUUGCAUUUCUACGGGCACAACAGUCCUCAUUGACCAGUGAGGAAACUAGAAACUUGGCAAAAACUAACCCAAUAUCUUGCCUAUACGCGUAUAUACCCCACCCCUUUCCAUAAAGUUUAAUACCAGGAAUUCCCACUGAUGAUCAUACCUUUCAUCCUCACAUUCUUUGUUCACAUAAAUUCUUACUAGGUGUUUAACUUUUAUCAUCAAAAAUCAUUCAUUUACCUUUUUGGUAUUUCAUAAUACAGCAUUCUUCGAAAUAUAAUUUAGAAAAACGA